AUGCGCCUCCACUACGCCGACCUCUCCGACUCGUCCUCCCUCCGCCGCGCGCUCGACCACGUCCUCCCCGACGAGGUCUACAACCUUGCUGCCCAGUCCCACGUCGCCGUCUCCUUCGAGGUCCCCGACUACACAGCCGACGUCACCGCCACCGGCGCGCUCCGCCUACUCGAGGCUGUCCGCCUCUCCGCCAAGCCCAUGCGCUACUACCAGGCGGGGUCCUCGGAGAUGUUCGGCUCCACGCCGCCGCCGCAGAGCGAGACCACGCCCUUCUACCCGCGGUCACCCUACGCGGCCGCCAAGGUCGCCGCGCACUGGUACACCGUCAACUACCGCGAGGCCUACGGGCUCUUCGCGUGCAACGGCGUGCUCUUCAACCACGAGUCCCCCCGGCGCGGCGAGAACUUCGUCACCCGCAAGAUCACCCGCGCCAUCGGCCGCAUCAAGGUUGGGCUCCAGACCAAGGUCUUCCUCGGCAACCUCUCCGCCGCCAGGGAUUGGGGCUUCGCCGGGGAUUACGUCGAGGCGAUGUGGCUCAUGCUCCAGCAGGACAAGCCUGGCGAUUAUGUUGUCGCCACCGAAGAGUGCCACACGGUGGAGGAGUUCUUGCAGGCUGCUUUUGGGUACGCCGGCCUCAACUGGAAGGAUCAUGCGGUCAUUGACAACAAGUACUUUCGCCCUUCCGAGGUGGACUGCCUUCAGGGAGAUUCAUCCAAGUCGAGGAGAGUGCUUGGGUGGAAGCCCAAGCUUGGCUUCCAGCAGCUAGUGGAGAUGAUGGUAGAUAACGACAUCGAGCUCGCCACGAAGGAGAAGGUCCUUGUGGAUGCUGGCUACCACGACAUCUAG
rnacentral:rRNA from 1 species